UACGUAGGGUCCAAGCGUUAUCCGGAAUCACUGGGCGUAAAGCGUGCGUAGGCGGGCAUUUAAGUGUGAUGUUAAAUCAUGUGGCUCAACCAUAUUGAUGCAUCGCAUACUGGAUACCUGGAGGAAGGCAGAGGCAAGUGGAACUAGUAGUGUAGCAGUGAAAUGCGUAGAGAUUACUAAGAACACCAAUGGCGAAGGCAGCUUGCUGGGCCUUUUCUGACGCUGAGGUACGAAAGCGUGGGGAGCGAACAGG
rnacentral:rRNA from 1 species